AUUGAACGCUGGCGGCAUGCCUUACACAUGCAAGUCGAACGGUAACAGGUCUUCGGAUGCUGACGAGUGGCGAACGGGUGAGUAAUACAUCGGAACGUGCCUAGUAGUGGGGGAUAACUACUCGAAAGAGUGGCUAAUACCGCAUGAGAUCUACGGAUGAAAGCAGGGGAUCGCAAGACCUUGUGCUACUAGAGCGGCCGAUGGCAGAUUAGGUAGUUGGUGGGAUAAAAGCUUACCAAGCCGACGAUCUGUAGCUGGUCUGAGAGGACGAUCAGCGACACUGGGACUGUGACACGGCCCAGACUCCUACGGGAGGCAGCAGUGGGGAAUUUUGGACAAAGGGCGAAAGCCUGAUCCAGCAAUGCCGCGUGCAGGAUGAAGGCCUUCGGGUUGUAAACUGCUUUUGUACGGAACGAAAAGCCCCGGGUUAAUACCCUGGGGUCAUGACGGUACCGUAAGAAUAAGCACCGGCUAACUACGUGCCAGCCGCCGCCGUAA
rnacentral:rRNA from 1 species